rnacentral:rRNA from 1 species
GACGAACGCUGGCGGCGGGCUUAACACAUGCAAGUCGAACGGAAAGGCCCUUCGGGGUACUCGAGUGGCGAACGGGUGAGUAACACGUGGGUGAUCUGCGCUGCACUUUGGGAUAAGCCGGGGAAACUGGGUCUAAUACCGAAUAGGACCACGCGCUUCAUGGGGUGUGGGGGAAAGCUUUUGCGGUGUGGGAUGGGCCCGCGGCCUAUCAGCUGGUUGGUGGGGUAAUGGCCUACCAAGGCGACGACGGGUAGCCGGCCUGAGAGGGUGACCGGCCACACUGGGACUGAGAUACGGACCAGACUCCUACGGGAGGCAGCAGUGGGGAAUAUUGCACAAUGGGCGCAAGCCUGAUGCAGCGACGCCGCGUGAGGGAUGACGGCCUUCCGGUUGUAAACCUCUUUCAAUAGGGACGAAGCGCAAGUGACGGUACCUAUAGAAGAAGCACCGGCCAACUACGUG